GACGAACGCUGGCGGCGUGCUUAACACAUGCAAGUCGAACGGAAAGGCCCUGCUUGCAGGGUACUCGAGUGGCGAACGGGUGAGUAACACGUGGGUGAUCUGCCCUGCACUUCGGGAUAAGCCUGGGAAACUGGGUCUAAUACCGGAUAGGAGCCAUUUUUAGUGUGAUGGUUGGAAAGUUUUUUCGGUGUAGGAUGAGCUCGCGGCCUAUCAGCUUGUUGGUGGGGUAAUGGCCUACCAAGGCGGCGACGGGUAGCCGGCCUGAGAGGGUGGACGGCCACAUUGCGACUGAGAUACGGCCCAGACUCCUACGGGAGGCAGCAGUGGGGAAUAUUGCCCAAUGGGCGCAAGCCUGAUGCAGCGACGCCGCGUGGGGGAUGACGGCCUUCGGGUUGUAAACUCCUUUCGCUAGGGACGAAGCUUUUGUGACGGUACCUAGAUAAGAAGCACCGGCUAACUACGUG
rnacentral:rRNA from 1 species